GUCGGUCGAUAUGGCUCUCUCGGAAGUGCUUGUGAGACUUGAGGGAGAAAAGAGGCCCCACUGGAAAAGCAACAGGGAGGAAGGAUCCUAGCUGUGUUCAUAAUGGGGUCGUUCUGGAAGGUGAUGUGGGCCUGGAGCAGGGGAGGUCAGGAGCCUGACACCCUCAGUGAGGUGGCAGAUGGGGUAGGGACCUGGAGACACAGCUGCACCCCAGGAGCUGGAUUCACACCAGAAAUGCCACCAUCAACUCAGGAAGUAUCAAACAGGUCGCGGUGAUGGAAGAUCCAGGUGUGAAUUGCAGCCUGCUCAUGAAAUUACCUGUGAGUGUUCCAAGAUGGAAUGGAGUCUGCAGCAGCUGGGCGAGUCAUACACAGUCCUUAUGGCGCCCGCACCAACACAGCUCUGACGCAUCUGCGCCUGUCAUGGCAA